UAUGAGGAGACUCGAGGUGUGCUUAAGGU
rnacentral:piRNA from 1 species